CCGUAGGGUGCUCUCUUUCCUCUUAACUCCUGGUCUUAAAUCUUGCUCAUUCUUUUCGCUAAGACAGGUGUGAAGUCCGGGCUUAACCUGGGAAUGGCGCUUGUGACUGGCGGGCUGGAGUACGGCAGAGGGGGGUGGAAUUCCACGUGUAGCAGUGAAAUGCGUAGAGAUGUGGAGGAACACCGAUGGCGAAGGCAGCCCCCUGGGCCGAUACUGACGCUCAUGCACGAAAGCGUGGGGAGCAAACAG
rnacentral:rRNA from 1 species